GAGAUUGUAGCUCAGUUGGAUAGAGCGUCAGAUUGCGGAUCUGAAGGUCGGAGGUUCGACUCCUCUCAGUCUCA
rnacentral:tRNA from 1 species